rnacentral:rRNA from 2 species
AGAGUUUGAUCAUGGCUCAGAACGUACGCUGGCGGCACGCCUAACACAUGCAAGUCGAACGAAGUAGCAAUACUUAGUGGCAGACGGGUGAGUAACAUGUGGGUAUCUACCCUUUGGCCUGGAAUAACACGAGGAAACUUGUGCUAAUACCGGAUAAGUCUUUACGGAGAAAGCUUUAUGCACCAUUGGAUGAGCCCGCACUUGAUUAGUUUGUUGGUAGGGUAAUGGCCUACCAAGACUAUGAUCAAUAGCUGAUUUGAGAGGAUGAUCAGCCACAUUGGGACUGAGACACGGCCCAAACUCCUACGGGAGGCAGCAGUGGGGAAUCUUGCACAAUGGAGGAAACUCUGAUGCAGCGAUGCCGCGUGAGUGAAGAAGGCCUUUGGGUUGUAAAGCUCUUUCGUCGGGGAAGAAAAUGACUGUACCCGAAUAAGAAGGUCCGGCUAACUUCGUGCCAGCAGCCGCGGUAAUACGAAGGGACCUAGCGUAGUUCGGAAUUACUGGGCUUAAAGAGUUCGUAGGUGGUUGAAAAAGUUGGUGGUGAAAUCCCAGAGCUUAACUCUGGAACUGCCAUCAAAACUUUUCAGCUAGAGUAUGAUAGAGGAAAGCAGAAUUUCUAGUGUAGAGGUGAAAUUCGUAGAUAUUAGAAAGAAUACCAAUUGCGAAGGCAGCUUUCUGGAUCAUUACUGACACUGAGGAACGAAAGCAUGGGUAGCGAAGAGGAUUAGAUACCCUCGUAGUCCAUGCCGUAAACGAUGUGUGUUAGACGUUGGAAAUUUAUUUUCAGUGUCGCAGGGAAACCGAUAAACACACCGCCUGGGGAGUACGACCGCAAGGUUAAAACUCAAAUGAAUUGACGGGGACCCGCACAAGUAGUGGAGCAUGUGGUUUAAUUCGAAGCAACGCGCAGAACCUUACCAACCCUUGACAUCCUGUGCUACUACCAGAGAUGGUACGUUCCCUUCGGGGACGCAGUGACAGGUGCUGCAUGGCUGUCGUCAGCUCGUGUCGUGAGAUGUUCGGUUAAGUCCGGCAACGAGCGCAACCCACAUCUUUAGUUGCCAGCAGGUUAAGCUGGGCACUCUAGAGAAACUGCCCGUGAUAAGCGGGAGGAAGGUGUGGAUGACGUCAAGUCCUCAUGGCCCUUACGGGUUGGGCUACACACGUGCUACAAUGGCAGUGACAAUGGGUUAAUCCCCAAAAGCUGUCUCAGUUCGGAUUGGGGUCUGCAACUCGACCCCAUGAAGUCGGAAUCGCUAGUAAUCGCGUAACAGCAUGACGCGGUGAAUACGUUCCCGGGC